AUCUUCAGGGCGGGGUGAAAAUCCCCACUGGCGGUAUAGUCCGCGACCUGCCAAUGCAGUCGAACCGGUGAAACUCCGGUACCAACAGUAAAGUCUGGAUGAAAGAAGAUG
rnacentral:ncRNA from 1 species